UUCAUUUUGCAUUUUCAAGUUCGCACUUUUCAUUGCAAAUUUAUUAAAAUUCAGUUUCUUUUUUGUCAGUUUUUUGUUUUUGGUUUUAAAUACAUUUCAGGGUUUAACUUUAAUGCUAUAUGGAUGAAAUCGGUUCUAUAAACUUAGCUUGUACAGUUACAUUUUAUGUUGUAUUAUAUAUUUUUUGUUGCGUGUGCUUACAAUGGUUAAAUCGAAAUAGACUUAACUAAGAUUAAUCAUUAGACAAGAUGGUUAAAGUUUAUCUAAAUCAAAAUCAUAAGAAAUAGUUUAUUUGUCUGGGUUAAAUUUUCAUCCUCAAUGUUUAUUUUUUCUGAGGCCAAAUUAUGAGAGCCAUUGAUGAAAGGUUCGGUAGAGAUAAGGGAGCAGUAUGGUAGCCGAGAUAGGGACCAAUCGAGCGAUAAGUUCGACCCCCGCUGCUACAGGAGACCUUCAUUUAUUUACAAUUUCUGUUUUCUGUUUUCUGUUCUGUGUCUGCAACGCAUUGUAUCUUUGGAAUGCGGGCGACGGCGUGGCUCUUUCCUCCUUUUUCCUAUCCCUCAUUUUGGAAUUUUCCUCUAUUUUUGGAAUUAGCCAGCCGCGCCAGAUGAAGUACCGAGCGAUAAGCAAUGACGGCCUUACUGUUUACACUUAUUUAUAUUUUUUUUUGGUGCCUGCAUAUGCAUGUGUAUCUUCUGGUUUGUGUAUCUCAUGAGUCCGAUUGAUGUGGACAAGAUCUCUCUCUGAUGUGCAGUUGAACGAACCCCGGAGUAACGUCUUUGAUUUGCAAUUUAUGACCUAGACUAACUGUGGAGCAGCUGCGUUCCAGCUUACCGGGGAGCUAGCUGCUUAACUCGUUUCUUUUUCGUUCGCUCGAAUCGAACAAUAAAUAAAGGAAAGGAAAGGAAAGGAAAGGAAAAUAACCGAAAUCUCUCCCCAUGUGCAUUGUUUACUCUCCGUCUCCCUCUCUGGCCGCGAUCUAACCGUCUCAUUCGCGCGCCCGCACUUGCGCCGCAGACACAACAAUACCAGCUGAUGGUGUUUUUGUAGAUAAGCGAGAGGAAAGAGGAAGAGAACGUCAACAGUAUACCUUAUACCUUUCCCCCACCAACACACACACAUACACACACGGGUGUCCCGCGCGUGCAUUGGAAACAGGUAAAACGAGUUUAUUGUAGAUUACAUGACCCAACCUGCAAGCUGAUUCCACAAAAUAAUCUAAGACUUCUGGCGACGUCGCAUAUCGAAUUGCAUUCUCCCGACAAUUACUAAAUGCGCCGCCCGACGGCGCAAUUCCACAAAAGGAACAUGCAGUUGGAUUUCCGUUUUUCCCCAGGUGCCAAUGCGAACAGCUGAUUUUGCCACGACCGUUGGCGAGAGCGGGACAACCACAACAACGUGGCCCAAAAGCAAAACAAUAACAGAGAGCAAAAACCGAAAGGUGUGUAGGCACACGCAUACACACAUACAUAUAAACGAACGUGGAAACCUCAAAACAAAGAUGAGUGCAAAUGCAAAUGGGCGAAAAAAUAAUGAUUCUUUCUUUUCACAAAAUCUGCUAAUUAAUAGUUAAUGCAGGUACACGGCAAAAUGCCAAGCCACUCCGAUGAAUCACGUUUCUGGAGUUCGAAAUAGUUGUUAUUGUCUAGAAGCGUAAUUGAGAAGCAAUUUUUGAAUGACGCAGUAACCUUUCCUGUCCGUGAGUGUGCGUGAGCAGCAAUGUCAUCACUAGAACGCAUUACAUAAAAGAUCUCCCCAGAACACAUUUCUUCACUUGUCAGCAGAAAUUAAUGAGAAAGAAUUGGAAUAAAAGGAAUGAAGAGAGAGAAAAUAAACUAAUAGAAUGAAAUGCAAGAA